GUUUUUGUAGAAUAGAAUAUUAUCACAACAAAUAUAACGCAAGCCACAAGGGAAGCCGGUGCAAGUCCGGCGCGGUCGCGCCACUGUGAGGGGGAGCGACCCCACAGCAGGCCACUGGUCCGGCAUUCAGCAAGAGCCCUGCCGCUAACGGGUUGCGGUUAAAGGGACUGAGCGCCGGACUGGGAAGGCGUGGGGGAGCGGUGAGCCCGAGCCAGGAUACCUGGUGCUUGUCGUCGUAAGUG
rfam:Moorella thermoacetica ATCC 39073, complete genome.